rnacentral:rRNA from 1 species
ACGGAAGGCAGCAGCUAAGAAUAUUCCGCAAUGGACGAAAGUCUGAUGGAGCAACGCCGCGUGUGUGAUGAAGGGUUUCGGCUCGUAAAACACUGUUGUAAGAGAAGAAUGACAUUGAGAGUAACUGUUCAAUGUGUGACGGUAUCUUACCAGAAAGGAACGGCUAAAUACGUGCCAGCAGCCGCGGUAAUACGUAUGUUCCAAGCGUUAUCCGGAUUUAUUGGGCGUAAAGCGAGCGCAGACGGUUAUUUAAGUCUGAAGUGAAAGCCCUCAGCUCAACUGAGGAAUUGCUUUGGAAACUGGAUAGCUUGAGUGCAGUAGAGGAAAGUGGAACUCCAUGUGUAGCGGUGAAAUGCGUAGAUAUAUGGAAGAACACCAGUGGCGAAGGCGGCUUUCUGGACUGUAACUGACGUUGAGGCUCGAAAGUGUGGGUAGCAAACAGGAUUAGAUACCCUGGUA